AAAGAAGGGCGGGCGGUAGAGAUCACAGACUACAGGCCCAUUAGUUUAAUCCACUUGAUCGCAAAGCUCAUCUCCAAGGUCCUAUCCAUUAGGCUAGCAUCCGUCAUCAGCUCCAUCAUCUUACCAGCACAAACGGCCUUCCUGAAGACAAAAUGCAUCCACGACAGCUUCCUCUUUGUGUAG
rnacentral:rRNA from 1 species